GCGGGGGUAGUUCAAUUGGUUAGAAUGUCUGUUUUCCAAACAGAGGGUUGCGGGUUCGAGCCCCGUCCCCCGCUCCA
rnacentral:tRNA from 1 species